rnacentral:rRNA from 1 species
GACAUCAGGAGGUUAGUGCAAUGGCAUAAGCUGGCUUGACUGCGAGCGUGACGGCGCGAGCAGGUGCGAAAGCAGGUCAUAGUGAUCCGGUGGUUCUGAAUGGAAGGGCCAUCGCUCAACGGAUAAAAGGUACUCCGGGGAUAACAGGCUGAUACCGCCCAAGAGUUCAUAUCGACGGCGGUGUUUGGCACCUCGAUGUCGGCUCAUCACAUCCUGGGGCUGAAGUAGGUCCCAAGGGUAUGGCUGUUCGCCAUUUAAAGUGGUACGCGAGCUGGGUUUAGAACGUCGUGAGACAGUUCGGUCCCUAUCUGCCGUGGGCGCUGGAGAAUUGAGGGGGGCUGCUCCUAGUACGAGAGGACCGGAGUGGACGCAUCACUGGUGUUCGGGUUGUCAUGCCAAUGGCAUUGCCCGGUAGCUAAAUGCGGAAGAGAUAAGUGCUGAAAGCAUCUAAGCACGAAACUUGCCCCGAGAUGAGUUCUCCCUGACUCCUUGAGAGUCCUGAAGGAACGUUGAAGACGACGACGUUGAUAGGCCGGGUGUGUAAGCGCAGCGAUGCGUUGAGCUAACCGGUACUAAUGAACCGUGAGGCUUAACCUU